rnacentral:rRNA from 1 species
UACGUAGGGUGCAAGCGUUGUCCGGAAUUAUUGGGCGUAAAGAGCUCGUAGGCGGUUUGUCACGUCGGCUGUGAAAACUCGGGGCUCAACCCCGAGCCUGCAGUCGAUACGGGCAGACUUGAGUCCGGGAGAGGAGAGUGGAAUUCCUGGUGUAGCGGUGAAAUGCGCAGAUAUCAGGAGGAACACCGGUGGCGAAGGCGGGUCACUGGGCCGGAACUGACGCUGAGGAGCGAAAGCGUGGGGAGCGAACAGG